rnacentral:misc_RNA from 1 species
GAUGAAGAACGUAGUGAAAUGCGAUAAGUAAUGUGAAUUGCAGAAUUCAGUGAAUCAUCGAAUCUUUGAACGCACAUUGCGCCCGCCAGUAUUCUGGCGGGCAUGCCUGUUCGAGCGUCAUUACAACCCUCAGGCCCCCGGGCCUGGCGUUGGGGAUCGGCGGAAGCCCCCUGCGGGCACAACGCCGUCCCCCAAAUACAGUGGCGGUCCCGCCGCAGCUUCCAUUGCGUAGUAGCUAACACCUCGCAACUGGAGAGCGGCGCGGCCACGCCGUAAAACACCCAACUUCUGAAUGUUGACCUCGAACCAGGUAGGAAUACCCGCUGAACUUAAGCAUAUCAAUAAGCGGAGGA